UGGGGAAUAUUGCACAAUGGGCGCAAGCCUGAUGCAGCCAUGCCGCGUGUGUGAAGAAGGCCUUCGGGUUGUAAAGCACUUUCAGCGGGGAGGAAGGCGAUAAGGUUAAUAACCUUGUCGAUUGACGUUACCCGCAGAAGAAGCACCGGCUAACUCCGUGCCAGCAGCCGCGGUAAUACGGAGGGUGCAAGCGUUAAUCGGAAUUACUGGGCGUAAAGCGCACGCAGGCGGUCUGUCAAGUCGGAUGUGAAAUCCCCGGGCUUAACCUGGGAACUGCAUUAGAAACUGGCAGGCUAGAGUCUUGUAGAGGGGGGUAGAAUUCCAGGUGUAGCGGUGAAAUGCGUAGAGAUCUGGAGGAAUACCGGUGGAGAAGGCGGCCCCCUGGACAAAGACUGACGCUCAGGUGCGAAAGCGUGGGGAGCAAACAGG
rnacentral:rRNA from 1 species